CAAGACCUUGCGCUUUUGGAGCGGCCGAUGUCUGAUUAGCUAGUUGGUGAGGUAAAGGCUUACCAAGGCUUCGAUCAGUAGCUGGUCUGAGAGGACGACCAGCCACACUGGGACUGAGACACGGCCCAGACUCCUACGGGAGGCAGCAGUGGGGAAUUUUGGACAAUGGGGGAAACCCUGACCCAGCCAUGCCGCGUGAGUGAAGAAGGCCUUCGGGUUGUAAAGCUCUUUCAGCCGGAACGAAAAGGUUACGGUUAAUACCCGUGACUAAUGACGGUACCGGAAGAAGAAGCACCGGCUAACUACGUGCCAGCAGCCGCGGUAAUACGUAGGGUGCGAGCGUUAAUCGGAAUUACUGGGCGUAAAGCGUGCGCAGGCGGUUUUGUAAGUCAGAUGUGAAAUCCCCGGGCUCAACCUGGGAACU
rnacentral:rRNA from 1 species